UGCAGUCGAACGAUGAACCGCUUUCGGGCGGGGAUUAGUGGCGAACGGGUGAGUAACACGUGGGCAAUCUGCCCUGCACUCUGGGACAAGCCCUGGAAACGGGGUCUAAUACCGGAUAUGACCGUCUGCCGCAUGGUGGAUGGUGUAAAGCUCCGGCGGUGCAGGAUGAGCCCGCGGCCUAUCAGCUUGUUGGUGAGGUAGUGGCUCACCAAGGCGACGACGGGUAGCCGGCCUGAGAGGGCGACCGGCCACACUGGGACUGAGACACGGCCCAGACUCCUACGGGAGGCAGCAGUGGGGAAUAUUGCACAAUGGGCGAAAGCCUGAUGCAGCGACGCCGCGUGAGGGAUGACGGCCUUCGGGUUGUAAACCUCUUUCAGCAGGGAAGAAGCGAAAGUGACGGUACCUGCAGAAGAAGCGCCGGCUAACUACGUGCCAGCAGCCGCGGUAAUACGUAGGGCGCAAGCGUUGUCCGGAAUUAUUGGGCGUAAAGAGCUCGUAGGCGGCUUGUCACGUCGGUUGUGAAAGCCCGGGGCUUAACCCCGGGUCUGCAGUCGAUACGGGCAGGCUAGAGUUCGGUAGGGGAGAUCGGAAUUCCUGGUGUAGCGGUGAAAUGCGCAGAUAUCAGGAGGAACACCGGUGGCGAAGGCGGAUCUCUGGGCCGAUACUGACGCUGAGGAGCGAAAGCGUGGGGAGCGAACAGGAUUAGAUACCCUGGUAGUCCACGCCGUAAACGGUGGGCACUAUGUGUGGGCAACAUUCCACGUUGUCCGUGCCGCAGCUAACGCAUUAAGUGCCCCGCCUGGGGAGUACGGCCGCAAGGCUAAAACUCAAGGAAUUUGACGGGGGCCCGCACAGCGGCGGAGCAUGUGGCUUAAUUCGACGCAACGCGAAGAACCUUACCAAGGCUUGACAUACACCGGAAACGUUUGGAGACAGGCGCCCCCUUGUGGUCGGUGUACAGGUGGUGCAUGGCUGUCGUCAGCUCGUGUCGUGAGAUGUUGGGUUAAGUCCCGCAACGAGCGCAACCCUUGUCCCGUGUUGCCAGCAGGCCCUUGUGGUGCUGGGGACUCACGGGAGACCGCCGGGGUCAACUCGGAGGAAGGUGGGGACGACGUCAAGUCAUCAUGCCCCUUAUGUCUUGGGCUGCACACGUGCUACAAUGGCCGGUACAAUGAGCUGCGAUACCGUGAGGUGGAGCGAAUCUCAAAAAGCCGGUCUCAGUUCGGAUUGGGGUCUGCAACUCGACCCCAUGAAGUCGGAGUCGCUAGUAAUCGCAGAUCAGCAUUGCUGCGGUGAAUACGUUCCCGGGCCUUGUACACACCGCCCGUCACGUCACGAAAGUCGGUAACACCCGAAGCCGGUGGCCCAACCCCUUGUGGGAGGGA
rnacentral:rRNA from 1 species